AUACUUUUACAGCAGGGAAGACACUGUAUUAAAGGAAACUGUUUACCAAGGUGAUAGAGAUCAUCUGAGAUUUUCCUAAAUGUGGGAAAUCAAACUGCAUAAUUUGUGGUAGUGGGGAAGAUGUGUUCGCACUCAUCCCCA
rnacentral:snRNA from 1 species